AGGGGAAAGCGGAAUUCCUGGUGUACCGGUGAAAUGCGUAGAUAUCAGGAGGAACACCAGUGGCGAAGGCGGCUUUCUGGUCCGGAAUUGACGCUGAGGUACUAAAGCGUGGGUAGCAAACAGGAUUAGAUACCCUGGUAGUCCACGCCCUAAACGAUGGAUACUUGAUGUCGGGAUGUUCGGUCGUCUCGGUGUCGUAGCUAACGUGUUAAGUAUCCCGCCUGGGGACUACGGUCGCAAGACUGAAACUCAAAGGAAUUGACGGGGGCCCGCACCAGCGGUGGAACAUGUGGUUUAAUUCGAUGCAACGCGAAGAACCUUACCUGGGCUUGACAUAUAUAUGAAGUAUGUAAGAAAUUAUGUAUUCUGUCUGCAUUUGCAGGUAGCAUAUAUACAGGUGAUGCAUGGCUGUCGUCAGCUCGUGUCGUGAGAUGUAGGGUUAAGUCCCUUAACGAGCGCAACCCUUGCUUUUAGUUGCCAUCAGGUAAUGCUGGGGACUCUAGAAGGACUGCCGAGGUUAACUCGGAGGAAGGUGGGGAUGACGUCAAGUCAGUAUGUCCCUUAUGUCCAGGGCUACACACGUGUUACAAUGGAUGGUACAGAGUGCAGCUACGCCGUGAGGCUACGCAAAUCACUUAAAGCCGUUCCCAGUUCGGAUUGGAGUCUGCAAUUCGACUCCAUGAAGUUGGAAUCGCUAGUAAUCGCAGAACAGCAUGCUGCGGUGAUACGUUCCCGGGCCUUGUACACACCGCCCGUCACGCCAUGGAAGUUGGGAGUACCCAAAGUUGCUGUC
rnacentral:rRNA from 1 species